AAAACUAGUAAGACCUAGUAAGACCCACAGUGGGGGAAAAAUAACUAAGAAGCACUUAGUGAAGCCUGAAGUAGUUACCGUGAAGGAUUUGUUGCUUGUUUUGGUUUGGUUCUAGGUUGGUGAUGAACACCUUAGGAAACAACACCGGGUGCUGGCAGAUCUUCAUUACAGCAAGGCCGCAAAGCUGUUUCAGCUGCUGAAAGAUGCUCCCUGCGAACUGCUUAGAGUACAGCUAGAGAGAGUAGCAUUUGCUGAAUUUCAGAUGACCAGUCAGAAUAGCAAUGUUGGAAAGUUGAAAACACUAUCUGGGGCUCUUGAUAUAAUGGUGAGAACCGAGCACGCAUUCCAGCUUAUCCAGAAGGAGCUUAUAGAAGAAUUUGGCCAGCCUAAGAGUGGUGAUGCCGCUGCAGCUGCUGAUGCUUCUCCUAGUCUCAAUCGAGAAGAAGUGAUGAAACUCCUCAGUAUAUUUGAGUCUCGGUUGUCAUUUCUUCUCCUUCAGUCCAUUAAACUGCUAUCUUCAACUAAAAAGAAAACAAGCAAUAACAUCGAAGAUGACACAAUUCUCAAAACCAACAAGCACAUUUACUCCCAGCUUUUGAGAGCAACUGCAAAUAAAACCGCGACUCUUCUGGAAAGAAUCAACGUUAUCGUCCACCUGCUGGGCCAGCUUGCCGCCGGCAGUGCAGCGAGCAGCAAUGCCGUUCAGUGACUGCACAGAGCCGUGUCCCAGACACGCUGUCAGUGCCUUCAACACGGAGCCGGUUUGUUCAUUCGGUGCUUUGUUUCAUUAAAUAAUAGGGAAAUAUCCAUUUAAAACAGGUAUAUCAGUGGAAACACAGAGUUAUUUUAAGUGACAGACAAAUUACGGUUGAGUUCUGUGGCUUCUUCACUUGAAGUGCUAACAUCAGAAUCAAACUUAAAGCUUCCACUGUUUAUGUCUUUGAGAAGUAUGUAGUACCUCGGUAUUAACAGACCUGCUGUGAUGCAGUUACACUUUCACGUAUUUUUGAAGUAUGUCAAGCUACACGGGUCUAAGAUAUGAUUAUUUUGGAUAAAAUGUUACUUUGGUCAAGAGAACUUUUAUCCAGAUGACAUUACAGGUUCAAGUGGGUUAAGGAGACCUCCUGUACAUCUACAGUGUUUCCUUUUAAAUUGUCCAGAAAAAAGGUGUGUUCUUCAUAAGCUUCAGUGCAGGAUUUUUCAAAGACUAGCUGUUGUGCAAUUUGCUGUAUUUAAUGCAUGUUCUGAAAGGAUUCACUUUUGACUUUAUAUGACAGUUGAUCAAGAACAGGUACUACCCCUUUUUUUCAUUUUAAACUUGAAACUGUGAAUAAGGUAAGAAAACUAUUUUGAAUAAAUAAACUAUUUAUUUAAAAUGUC
rnacentral:sRNA from 1 species